GAUGAACGCUGGCGGCAGGCCUAACACAUGCAAGUCGAGCGGCUGAGUGGAGCUUGCUCCACGAUUCAGCGGCGGACGGGUGAGUAAUGCCUAGGAAUCUGCCUGGUAGUGGGGGACAACGUUUCGAAAGGAACGCUAAUACCGCAUACGUCCUACGGGAGAAAGUGGGGGAUCUUCGGACCUCACGCUAUCAGAUGAGCCUAGGUCGGAUUAGCUAGUUGGUGAGGUAAAGGCUCACCAAGGCGACGAUCCGUAACUGGUCUGAGAGGACGAUCAGUCACACUGGAACUGAGACACGGUCCAGACUCCUACGGGAGGCAGCAGUGGGGAAUAUUGGACAAUGGGCGAAAGCCUGAUCCAGCCAUGCCGCGUGUGUGAAGAAGGUCUUCGGAUUGUAAAGCACUUUAAGUUGGGAGGAAGGGCAGUAAGUUAAUACCUUGCUGUUUUGACGUUACCAACAGAAUAAGCACCGGCUAACUUCGUGCCAGCCGCCGCAGUAA
rnacentral:rRNA from 1 species